UUGUUUCAAGAAUGCUCCAAAUUUCAAGGAGAUAAUUUUAAGAUAUCAUUAUAUACAUAUUAUAUACAUAUAAAUUUACUGCAGUUCUUCGUUUUUAAAUUAUUACAAUAAAGAAUCUUUUAAUAAAAAAAUAUUCACAAAUAAAUUCAGUGAAUAUGUGAAAGAAGAUUAUUACUAUUGCAAAAAUAUUCAGAGUGUGUACGGCUUUAUAAUGAUCGACGAAUCACGUCGAAUUGAUGAUGAUCGCAAUCACGAACAGGAAUCAUGAAAAAAAGAAAUUGGUUCGACCGCAAUUAUAACCAGAUCCUCAAUUACCAUUCCUAAUUACAUCGAUCAAAGCAAUUAUGCGCGUUGUACCGACGUCGUCAUCCGAAGAUUAAAGAAAAUGAGCAGUCCAAGGGUCCUGAGCACGCGAUCGAUCAUUCAUUGGCAUCUCAUCGAAAAGAAGGCGUGAUGGCUGACGAUUGCAUUCGCCAUCCACUACGAUUUCUCCCACUAUACAACCACACUCUGUCCUCCUACUCUGAUGCUAGUUGGGCCACGUCUUUCUGAAAAAUGUACCAUCGCCGACCAUUGGGUGCAAUGGAAAUCAAGGCUACCGAUUGGACAGCCUCUAAUGCUCGCUUAGGAAUAUUACGACCUCGUGCAACGAAUCCAACGCACGUGAAGAUGCAGAUUAAUGUAAUCUUCAUCAGCUAUAACGUUAUCGAGUCGGAUCGACGACGUCACCGCCUUCGAGUUGCUCCACGCGAAGGAUUUAUGUUAAUUCUGAGCCAUACUAUUCUACGUGAAGCUGGACGGCUUCCUUCUUACUCGACACUCUCGCAUAAGUAGGCGAUUCAAGUGCCGCUUCGUGCAAAGAGCCACGAAACGUAAAACAGAGCACAAAAAGAGCAAUCCAUGAGGUGGAUGAGAAGGAAGCCUUCCAUAAGGAAGCCAAGUUUACGAGAUGAUUGUCCUACGGGCCCUAUUCAUUCGACAUGGAAUCUCCAAGCGGAUCUCUAUUGUAGAUUAUUGCGCCAUUGUCCAUUGUCGCGCAAUCCGCCACAACUGGCCUUCUUAGAUCUCUUUGACGCAAGGAAAAAAAAAAAAUUCGGCAAGAAUGAAAACGGCGGCAUCAGAUUAUAGUGUUUCUCAAAAUAGUUUGGAUUAUGAAUAGUGCAAAACCAUUCCAUAUUGCAUCAAGCAAUUAUAUGUGUAUAUAUAUAGUAAAAAAUAUGGAGAAAAUAACAUGCGAAAAAUACGUAUGUAAAUAUAAACAAAUGUAGAAAUUUUAUUUGUAGAUUCACUGUCGUGGCGUGUUAACCCGAAAUGUAUACAUUAAGAGGAUAACACGUUCAGAAAUAAAUUCAAAACUUGAAAUAAAAA